AGAGAAGAGAGGAGAGCGUACAGAGAAGAGAGAAGAGAGGACAGAAGAGUGCUGAGGAGGACAAGAUGAGAGGAGAGGAGAGAGGACAGGAGAGUGCUGAGGAGCAGGAGAGGAGAGGAGAGAGGAGAGAGGACAGGAGAGUGCUGAGGAGGAGGGGAGGAGAGAAGAGAGGAGAGCAUACAGGAGAGUGCUGAGGAGGAGGAGAGGAGAGGAGAGAGGACAGGGGAGUGCUGAGGAGGAGGAGAGGAGAGAGGAUAGAGGACAGAAGAGUGCUGAGGAGGACGAGAAGAGAAGGGGAGAGGAGAGAGGACAGAGAAUUACUGAGGAGGAGGAGAGGAGAAGGAGGAGAGGAGAGAGGACAGGGGAGUGCUGAGGAGGAGGAGAGCAGAAGGGGGAGAGGAGAGAGGACAGGAGAGUGC
ensembl:lncRNA